AUUCUGGAAAUAAAAGUUCCACCCCAAAUUCUCAAAUAAUUUUAAUUAAAAUAAAUUUAAAUUCUCCCCGACUUCCCCCGACACUUUUCUCUAUCUCUCUGCACUUUCUCCCAUCCCUUUCUCCUCUCUUUUCAGCUUCUUUAUGUGGGGUCGAGCUUAUGGAAAUCUGGUUGGAGGCGGUGCAUUUCAGGCGUAAAAAUAAAAAAAUAAAAAAAAAAUUAGGGCUUUUCUUUGCUGUUUUGAGCCCUAUUGCGCUACAGAAGUCGAUCAAAUUGAGAGAUUCGUCAACUGAUUUGUAGGGUUUUAGGACUUGAAACUGGUGGAGCUUUGUUUAAAGAACAUCCGGCGGUGGUUUCUUCAGUUGAGUGGAAUCUGGGUGAUGCAAUUUUCCAGUUUGGGUUCGUUUUCGGGUUGGAGAAUUGGAGUGCGCGACUUCACUUCGCUAUUCUGCUUUAAUUUUCAAUUAUUGUUUUGAUUAAUUUAUUCUCAUCAUUAUGAUUUUGAUAAAAUAGAAUAUGUUCCAAUUGUUAUGAAAUUGGUUGUGCUCGAUUUUUGCAUUUGAUAUGAUAUUUAGAUAUAUAUAAAAAGACUACAGUUAAUGAGUAAUGCAAUCAUCUUAUGUUUUAUCAGCCACAUCACUUUUGAAAGCAUCUGUUUCUUUGCUUUGUAUUGCUUUUGUUAGUGGAGGACACAACUUUAACUCGCCAAAAGGAAAUUUUUGUUUCUGUGGUCAUUGGGAGGUCAGAUAAUAUGAUUAUAUGAUUGGAUUGCCCAUGUACCGUGUGAGAGUUCUACUAAAAAUGCUUUUGAUUCUGCUCAGAUGUGGAUCCGUUUAAUUUUGAUAGCAGCUCAUUCAAACUGUUAGAUGUGGGAUCCAUAUAAUAUUUUUCUUAGCUAUUCAAUUGAGAAAACCCUUGAAAUCCAUGGCUGGGGAAGUCUAUAAUGCAUUUGACUUUUAAUUAUACAGCCUGCAACAUGCAAUGCAUCUAAAGCCUUUGCAGAAGCUGGGUUUUAAUUUUAGGAACAAAGGUCAAAAGAAUAGGAUUCACUUGUUUUAGUAACUUAAUUUUUGCAAGAAAAAUCCUGUUUUUCUAAAAAAUAGUUACCUUAGCAAAUUUGCAGGUUUUAUUUUUGCUUCCAAGAGCCCAAGUGUCAGAUUAAUUUUCUCUUUAAUGAGUUUAUUCACCUCCUUUUGCUUUGUUGGGUCAUUCAGACCUCUUCUGUUCAAGCUAGACACACUGAUCUCAAGACACUGAUUUGGGUUUUCCCCUCAAGAUUUGCUAAUAGCUCCAACCAGCAGCGGCCUACACCCCCCCCCCCCCUCGCGGCGGGACAACAGUGUGGACGCAUAUUGUUGCACUUCUGGCUGGCUUUUCCAUUGGGUGCUUGAAGCUUUUCUUUGGUUAGCUUGAAGGGUUUUGGAGUCUUCUCGCAUAACAGUGAGGUCAUGGAUUCAAGGCAUGGAAACAGCCUCUUACAAAAAUGUAAGUUAUGACACGUUUAAAUGUAGAUCGGAACCUUUUGAAGAUAGGUCGGUUAGGGAAUUGAGAUUGAAGCUCAAUGAUGAGCUUUUGAGGAUACAAGGUCUAAGGAUGAUUGAGAGGAACAAGGCAAUGAUAAAAAUUGGAUCAGACCACAUCUUAAUUGAUUUUUUAUUUAUUUAUUUAUUUUACUUACCGAUAGUGAAAAGGAAGAAUGCGUGAAGUUACUUUUGUUAUGUGGAUAUUGAUUUUAUUUUAACCAUUGAACUUCUUAAUACAAUAGGAUUUUUUUUUUUUUUAAUUUUAGUUUGCCCUUAAAACAUGUGAUAUUGAUAAAAUCAAAUUGUUGGGAUUUACUUUGUCUAA